GACUAUGGGCCUGAUCCUGCCUGCAUUGAAAUCAUGAGAAGUCAAUUCACAUGGGUAAAAGACUGGAGAACUGAGCCCUUGGGGCUUAAAUCCUUUUUUGGAACAGGAAGAAGCAUCAUGGAUCCCUAUAACUUCAGCAGAAUGAAAAUUCACACGCUCUGACAAUAGGCUGCCUGUUAGAAAAAUGGAGCUCGGGUGUCCUUCCUGUCAUUUGUGGAAAUCAAGGGAUUUUGAAAAAUGUCACCAUUUCUCUGCAGCCACUGGAAGAGGAGUAUAGCUAUGGAUAGAAGCCUAACCUAUAGUUUGAAUUUUCAAGCUGAGGAUGAGAGCCAUGAGAUUCAUUAGUUUCCAAGCUGUGCCUCAGUAAAUAAAAUAGUUAUGGACUGUACCUUCCCAUGCUGGCAGAUUACAUCACAUGCCUUCUUAUAUUUCAUCUCUCUCUUCUGUGUACUUGUUGCAGAGCUGAAUUUGCUAUGACUCACAGGCGGGGACUAAGGGACCUACUGUAGUGGGUUUGUAAAAAUGUUGCUGUUUAGGUAGCUGAUGCCACAUCGAUCCUGGCUCAGAAUCCUGACUUUUUGUUGGUGUGAAAUUAGAACUUUAAAAAUAAUUUGAAGGUGAGUUUUAGGAAUCUGCAAGACUGAGCUGUAGCAUGACAAGUAACUGUGGACUAGGAGAGGGGGAACAAAACCAAGUGAAAAUAUCCUUUUUUGUCACUGAAGAGGACAACUACCUUAUAAAUAUAUCUAUUGUACCCUGUACUUCUCGCCCAAGCCUUUGAAAGCUGGGAGAUUAAAUUUGUUUUCCUGUGGAUGUUUGCCAAAAGGUAAAGGACAAAAAUUGAGCUUGCCUUUUUCUCUGGUGUUUCCAGUAGAAAAGAAGCCAGUGCAGCUGAACUGUCUUUUCAUUCCCUGAGUAUACCAACAUCCCCAAUCAUCUCAGUCGUGAUGUGCAUGGCUUUGGGAAUAAUAUUUAACUGAAGCAGUCAGGGGAGCACACAUGUUGUUUUGGGAGAACAGUCUCUUUUUUUUUCCUUAAUUUUUUCAAAACGCUGUAACUCAAGCUACUUACAGUAAGCAUUUUUUUAAGAAGUUAAAAUAAAACCUAGUAGAGAUUUGUUGCUAAUUAUAGCCUCUGAUCCAAAAAUGCUUAAACAAUACAUGCAAAAUUUCAUACAUGUGAAUAAUCACAAUGAUGUCUAUAUCUGUUCUGAUAGCCUCCAUAAUACUGUCAGAUUAUGCAGCUGAAAUCAGGGAUCACUUGUUUGUAAAGUCACCCACUGUGGGUAAACAUUUCAGAUUCAGAACCUAAACCAAAUGUUACAAUGUAUCAUAUCUGAGACUUGAACUAAGGCAGGCAAUAAAACUCCUCACCAAACCAGCCCUUAGAAGAGUCAGGUUCAGAACCUUUGUCUUCAUUCCUGAUUGAAAAACAGCUGGAAAAAUGGUGUUGCUCUGUAAACAAGCAAUAAGAGUAAUAACAUGCGUGGCUUUGACAAGGACUUCCUGUGCAACCACAAGCAAGCUAAUUAACCUUUCUCAUUGUGUUUCUUCAUUUUCCAAAAUGGACACAAUAAUAAAUGCCCUCUUUUGCAGGGCUGUUUUGAGGCUAUGCUCAAUAUUUGCAAAGCACUUUCUCAGACCCAGGGAUGGAAGGUGAAAUAAAA